GCCUUCGUGGCAUGGUUUGUGGUCAGCGCGCUCGACGCGUAUUCAAGAGGACCGUGGUUCGAGUCCCGGCGAAGGCA
rnacentral:tRNA from 1 species